rnacentral:rRNA from 1 species
CUACGGGGUGCUGCAGUGGGGAAUAUUGGACAAUGGGCGCAAGCCUGAUCCAGCCAUGCCGCGUGAGUGAAGAAGGCCUUAGGGUUGUAAAGCUCUUUCGGCGGGGACGAUGAUGACGGUACCCGCAGAGGAAGCCCCGGCUAACUCCGUGCCAGCAGCCGCGGUAAUACGGAGGGGGCUAGCGUUGUUCGGAAUUACUGGGCGUAAAGCGCGCGCAGGCGGCUAUUCUAGUCAGAGGUGAAAGGCCCGGGCUCAACCUGGGAACUGCCUUUGAUACUGGAUGGCUUGAGGUCGGAAGAGGGUAGUGGAAUUCCCAGUGUAGAGGUGAAAUUCGUAGAUAUUGGGAAGAACACCGGUGGCGAAGGCGGCUACCUGGUCCGAUACUGACGCUGAGGCGCGAAAGCGUGGGGAGCAAACAGGAUUAGAUACCCGAGUAGUC